AGCGAACGCUGGCGGCAUGCUUAACACAUGCAAGUCUCACGGGCAGCAAUGUCAGUGGCGGACGGGUGAGUAACGCGUAGGUAUCUAUCCUUGGGUGGGGGACAACCGUGGGAAACUACGGCUAAUACCGCAUGAAACCUGAGGGUCAAAGGCGCAAGUCGCCUGGGGAGGAGCCUGCGUACGAUUAGCUUGUUGGUGGGGUAAAGGCCUACCAAGGCGACGAUCGUUAGCUGGUCUGAGAGGAUGAUCAGCCACACUGGGACUGAGACACGGCCCAGACUCCUACGGGAGGCAGCAGUGGGGAAUAUUGGACAAUGGGCGAAAGCCUGAUCCAGCAAUGCCGCGUGGAUGAAGAAGGUUUUCGGAUUGUAAAGUCCUUUCGGCGGGGACGAUGAUGACGGUACCCGCAGAAGAAGCCCCGGCUAACUUCGUGCCAGCAGCCGCCGUAACAC
rnacentral:rRNA from 1 species